rnacentral:rRNA from 1 species
UGGGGGUGAAAGGCCAAUCAAACCGGGAGAUAGCUGGUUCUCCCCGAAAGCUAUUUAGGUAGCGCCUCGUGAACUCAUCUUCGGGGGUAGAGCACUGUUUCGGCUAGGGGGUCAUCCCGACUUACCAACCCGAUGCAAACUACGAAUACCGAAGAAUGUUAUCACGGGAGACACACGGCGGGUGCUAACGUCCGUCGUGAAGAGGGAAACAACCCAGACCGCCAGCUAAGGUCCCAAAGUCAUGGUUAAGUGGGAAACGAUGUGGGAAGGCCCAGACAGCCAGGAUGUUGGCUUAGAAGCAGCCAUCAUUUAAAGAAAGCGUAAUAGCUCACUGGUCGAGUCGGCCUGCGCGGAAGAUGUAACGGGGCUAAACCAUGCACCGAAGCUGCGGCAGCGACACUAUGUGUUGUUGGGUAGGGGAGCGUUCUGUAAGCCGUUGAAGGUGGCCUGUGAGGGUUGCUGGAGGUAUCAGAAGUGCGAAUGCUGACAUAAGUAACGAUAAUGCGGGUGAAAAACCCGCACGCCGGAAGACCAAGGGUUCCUGUCCAACGUUAAUCGGGGCAGGGUGAGUCGACCCCUAAGGCGAGGCCGAAAGGCGUAGUCGAUGGGAAACAGGUUAAUAUUCCUGUACUCGGUGUUACUGCGAAGGGGGGACGGAGAAGGCUAUGUUGGCCGGGCGACGGUUGUCCCGGUUUAAGCAUGUAGGCGGAUGUUCCAGGUAAAUCCGGAACGUUAUUAACGCUGAGGUGUGAUGACGAGGCACUACGGUGCUGAAGUGACAAAUGCCCUGCUUCCAGGAAAAGCCUCUAAGCAUCAGGUAACAUCAAAUCGUACCCCAAACCGACACAGGUGGUCAGGUAGAGAAUACCAAGGCGCUUGAGAGAACUCGGGUGAAGGAACUAGGCAAAAUGGUGCCGUAACUUCGGGAGAAGGCACGCUGAUAUGUAGGUGAAGUGGUUUACCCAUGGAGCUGAAAUCAGUCGAAGAUACCAGCUGGCUGCAACUGUUUAUUAAAAACACAGCACUGUGCAAACACGAAAGUGGACGUAUACGGUGUGACGCCUGCCCGGUGCCGGAAGGUUAAUUGAUGGGGUUAUCCGUAAGGAGAAGCUCUUGAUCGAAGCCCCGGUAAACGGCGGCCGUAACUAUAACGGUCCUAAGGUAGCGAAAUUCCUUGUCGGGUAAGUUCCGACCUGCACGAAUGGCGUAAUGAUGGCCAGGCUGUCUCCACCCGAGACUCAGUGAAAUUGAACUCGCUGUGAAGAUGCAGUGUACCCGCGGCAAGACGGAAAGACCCCGUGAACCUUUACUAUAGCUUGACACUGAACACUGGUCCUUGAUGUGUAGGAUAGGUGGGAGGCUUUGAAGCGUGGACGCCAGUCUGCGUGGAGCCAUCCUUGAAAUACCACCCUUUAAUGGCUGGUGUUCUAACGUGGGCCCCUAAUCGGGGUUGCGGACAGUGUCUGGUGGGUAGUUUGACUGGGGCGGUCUCCUCCUAAAGAGUAACGGAGGAGCACGAAGGUCAGCUAAUCCUGGUCGGACAUCAGGAGGUUAGUGCAAUGGCAUAAGCUGGCUUGACUGCGAGCGUGACGGCGCGAGCAGGUGCGAAAGCAGGUCAUAGUGAUCCGGUGGUUCUGAAUGGAAGGGCCA